rnacentral:rRNA from 1 species
GACGAACGCUGGCGGCGUGCUUAACACAUGCAAGUCGAGCGGUAAGGCCCUUUCGGGGGUACACGAGCGGCGAACGGGUGAGUAACACGUGGGUGACCUGCCCUCAGCUCUGGGAUAAGCCUGGGAAACCGGGUCUAAUACCGGAUAUGACUCCAUGACGCAUGUUGUGGGGUGGAAAGCCUUGUGCGGCUGAGGAUGGGCCCGCGGCCUAUCAGCUUGUUGGUGGGGUGAUGGCCUACCAAGGCGACGACGGGUAGCCGGCCUGAGAGGGCGACCGGGCCACACUGGGACUGAGACACGGCCCAGACUCCUACGGGAGGCAGCAGUGGGGAAUCUUGCGCAAUGGGCGAAAGCCUGACGCAGCGACG